rnacentral:rRNA from 1 species
AACGUAGGUGGCGAGCGUUGUCCGGAUUUAUUGGGCGUAAAGAGCGUGUAGGCGGCCGAGCAGGUCCGUUGUGAAAACUGAAGGCUCAACCUUCAGAGGUCGAUGGAAACCGUUCGGCUAGAGUCCGGAAGAGGAGAGUGGAAUUCCUGGUGUAGCGGUGAAAUGCGCAGAUAUCAGGAAGAACACACGUGGCGAAAGCGGCUCUCUGGGACGGUACUGACGCUGAGACGCGAAAGCGUGGGGAGCGAACAGG